rnacentral:rRNA from 1 species
GUUUUACUGUCUCCUUUUCCUAAUCAGUGAAACUAAUCUUCCCGUGAAGAAGCGGGAAUAAACGAAUAAGACGAGAAGACCCUAUGGAGCUUUAAACACAAUAACAAAUACUACUUUAAACAAAAAUUUCUUAAUGACUUACUCCCUGGUAUUAUGAUUAUUAGUUUUAGGUUGGGGUGACCGCGGAGAAAAACACAACCUCCACAUUGAAUGAUAAAAUUCUAAGCAAAGAAUUACAUUUCCACGCAUCAAUACAUUGACAUCAAUUGACCCAAUUAUUUUGAUCAACGAACCAAGUUACCCUAGGGAUAACAGCGCAAUCUACUUCAAGAGCCCAUAUCGACAAGUGGGUUUACGACCUCGAUGUUGGAUCAGGGUACCCCAGUGGUGCAGCCGCUACUAAAGGUUCGUUUGGUCAACGAUUAAAACCCUACGUGAUCUGAGU